AGUGAACGCUGGCGGUAGGCCUAACACAUGCAAGUCGAACGGCAGCACAGGAGAGCUUGCUCUCUGGGUGGCGAGUGGCGGACGGGUGAGGAAUACAUCGGAAUCUACUCUGUCGUGGGGGAUAACGUAGGGAAACUUACGCUAAUACCGCAUACGACCUACGGGUGAAAGCAGGGGACCUUCGGGCCUUGCGCGAUUGAAUGAGCCGAUGUCGGAUUAGCUAGUUGGCGGGGUAAAGGCCCACCAGGGCGACGAUCCGUAGCUGGUCUGAGAGGAUGAUCAGCCACACUGGAACUGAGACACGGUCCAGACUCCUACGGGAGGCAGCAGUGGGGAAUAUUGGACAAUGGGCGCAAGCCUGAUCCAGCCAUACCGCGUGGGUGAAGAAGGCCUUCGGGUUGUAAAGCCCUUUUGUUGGGAAAGAAAUCCAGCCGGCUAAUACCCGGUUGGGAUGACGGUACCCAAAGAAUAAGCACCGGCUAACUUCGUGCCAGCCGCCGCGGUAA
rnacentral:rRNA from 1 species